rnacentral:lncRNA from 1 species
UCAGCUAGGCGCUGGCGCCACCUAGUGUUGGCAGCAUUUUAACGGCUAUUUACUUGUAUCUGUAGUCACCAACUUCCACUGACUCCUCGAGCCCCGGAGCUCAGAGGGGAUUUGUCCAACAGUAGGACAGAAUUGGACCAAGAACUCAGUCUCCAGUCCUAGGGCCCAUCCAGAGCAACUUGGUUGACAACUGUGUGUGGGCUCCAACACAGAAGACAGCGACCUUCACAUGCAAGGACUGCAAGCUCCAUGUUGGAUUUUGCUCAUCUUAUACCCCACAGUUGCUAUGGCAUUUCAUAAUAAACAUGAUGACAACAACCACCAAUUAUUAGAUAUUUUUAAGACUCUGUGUACGAGGUGCUGCUGAGUUUAUUGUUUUCCAUACCUGGGUUCUGAGAGUUUGAGAGAAUUCAAUAUAAUUUCAGGAAUAUAAAGAACGUCCAGCCAACAAAUGGAUUAUGUUCCCAGAGAGGAUUUGAGUCAAUUGUUUGGAGCUCAGGAUGUACUUUCUGAAGGGAAUCUCAGGCUGAUAAUAAUAAUAAAAUAAUAAUAAUAGAUAGAAAUAGUAAUUGA